GUGUGGCCCAGGGACCUGAUAUGGCAGUUCCUUGAUGUGGGGAGUGUCUUUGCAUCCAGAAAGCCCCGGGGCUGGGGUUCUGGCUUGGUCUUGGAAGGGGUUCUGGGGUGGACUUGGGGGUGCUAUUUGCAAGUUAGAAGCCGAGGCUGGAGUUCUGCGGGGCCUGAGGCUGGGGCUCCGAUCUGCGGGACCCGGGGUCGCUGUCUGCAAUCUGGGCUGGUGACGGCAGGCCCGCAGGGGGGCCCGGAGGGGGCCCGGAGGUCCUACCUGGCGAGUAGAGCGCGGCUAGCUCGCGGGCCCCGGCAUGCUGCGCGCCCCAGCGCCGGCCAUACGCCGCCUCGUCCUCGUCGAGCUCCGGCUGCUGGCCCGGCCCAUCCUCGGCGCCCGCCAUGGCCCCUCGCCCGGCCCGCCUGGCACGCUCCGCUAGCGCUGCUGGCGGCGGCGGCGGCAGGGCCGCGGAAUCGCGGCGAGAUCACGCCGCCCAAUGACUGCCCAGCGCCGGGCGCGGCGGCGGCGCCGGCAGCCGCCUCGCCCGGCCGCGCGUCACAGCCAAUCGGGGCCCGCGCCGGGGCCGCGCCGGCCAAUCAGCGGCCGCCGAGCCGCAGCCAACCGCGGCGCGCGGGGGGCAGGGCCACAGCUGGGCGCAGCUGGGCGCGGAAGCGCAUCUCCGCGGGCUGCCCUGCGCCCCCGGGCCGGCCCGGCCCGGUCCGCCUCCCCGACACGCGCGGGCCGGCACCGCCCACCAUGGGCUCGGCCGCUGGGCCUGCGCAGUGGGCCGGAGUUGUGCGCCGCCGCGCCCAGAAACGGGCCUGUUUUCAGCCCGCACCGCCAAGCGCCUACUGUGUGCAAGGAGCGCGAGCGGAGGGCGCGGGGACGGGGCCAGGGAGCCCUCGCUUGGAGGACUCUUUGAAUAGUGCUCCCUAGCUGGGGCCGGUUUGCGCUGGGCUGCCUUAUGGAGCCUCACCACCUGCAGAGAUGACGAGGACCGUGCGUACACCUACUGGGUGCCGGCUUGUGCUGUGCGCCCUGGGGAGGAGAAACGUCGAGCCUGACCCCCAGGAGCUCCUGUUCUCCCCAGGGAGAGGACAGUAAACCGAUGAGAAUGACCCUAAGAGUCACUGUAAGAUUUGGAAUGUAGACGUGAUGGCAGUGCCAGAGCAGUUACCUUGGACCAUGAGGUGGAAACUGCCGGUUGAAGAUGGAAGAGCAGCUGUAAGAUAGCAAGAAUCUGAGUCCCUGAUACCACGAAGCUGAUGUGGGCUCGGCGAGCUGAGGAGUCAGAAGAAAGAUUUCUUGGAGUCUUCAGCAUGGAGCCUGCAUCUCGCCAGUGCAUCUCUUAAAAGAACGUAUGGAUGAGUGCAUGACGGGGAGCCGUGAGAUCCAGCCCUGCACCUGGAAAAAGGCACAAAGACCACACUCAAGCCUGGGUGGAAGCAUCGUCCAAAUGCAGUGGAAAAAUUUAUGGCCAGAGGAACUAGUUCCAAACCUGGCCCUUCUCCUCGCUUGCUGUGUGCCCCUGGAUAACCCACGUGCCCUCUCUGGGCCUGACACUCCUUGGUUGCAAACCAGGCUUAGCAAAUUCAUGGACUCUGUGCAAUUUAAAGAUUUUCAUUGCUCUUUGCAAUUCUAUUUCUAGAAAUCCAUUCCCAGAGAAAUUCUCACCUCACACCCCAUGAACACAGGUACAAGGAUGUAGCUUGGUUUGUGGAGUAAAACCCUGGAAAUAUCCUCAAAGGUGAUUAAUUAAACUGCGGCACAUUCAUGUUCUAGAGUGCUAGAGAGCUGACUGUGGCCGCGAGGAAUUCUCUGGUGACACUUGCUGGCACAGAAUGACACUGCAGCCCAGCUCAGCAAGGCACUGGGAAUUUCCAGAACCAGAGAGGCUCAGGGUAGCUGUGAGGAUGGUCUGGGAAGCCAUAGACCAGGGGGAGGUUUGGGAGGACGGCUGAGGCAAGGUGACUGGCCAGGGUGUGAAGUCGAGAGCAGAGACCCGGGUGUGAACUCCAGCUUCACCACUUCCUAGCUGGCGGAGCUUGGGCAGAUUAGGGACUUUCUCUGACCCUCAGUCUCUUCUUCUAGAGAAUGAGAUGUCUGAUGAGGAUUCAAAGAGAGAAUUCAUUCAUUCAUCAUCUAUUGAACCAACACUGAGCCCCUCUGAUGUCAGUGGUUGAUGAGAGUCUCCAGGCACUGAGGGUGCACCAGGACCUGGUCCUGCCCUCAUGGGGCUCUCAGUCUAGUGGGGGAGACAAUCAACAAGUAAACAGGCAGACAAGGUAAUUUCAGGUACUGAUGACACCGUAAAGGAAAAUAAAGCAGGGGAUGGGUCUGGGGGUGGAGGCACAUUACAGACACGGGCUCGGGGAGGGCGUCUCGGAGAGGGUGUGAGCAGAGGCCUGAAGGAGCCACAUCUUGGAGCACAACAUAUAAGACGCCAGUGGACGAACCUGGCACAUAGCAAAUCUCAAUAAACGCUGGGUCAUUGUCUCAUCACGCGGGAAAGGAAUUAAAGGGAGACUGGAAUCCGUCUCCUGGGGUCUGAGGCAGGCACGAGAGUGAGAAGAUUCCCGGGGCCUGGAGGGGGAGAAGCAGCCCCUGGACCGAGCGGCCCCAGCUCUGGAGGCCUUGCGCAAACAAGUGUCUAAGCCUCCAUUUCGUCCUUCGGAAAACAAGGCCAAUAAUGCCCACCCUGUGAUAUUGGGGGUUGUUACGGGCUGAACUGUGUCCCCCCAAAUCCAUGUAUUGAAGUCCUAGCCCCCAGGACCUCCAAUGGGACUGUGUUUGGAGAGCGGUUUUUGAAGAGGUGGUUAAGGUAAAAUGAGGUCAUGAGGGUGGGCCCGAAUCCACUAGGACCGGUGUCCCUGUGAGAAGAGGAGAUGAGGUCACGGGCACACACAGAGGGAUGACCUUGUGAAGACACAGGGAGAGGACAACCAUCCACAAGCCAAGGAGAGAGGCCUCAGAGGGAACCAAUGCUGCUGACACUUUGAUCUUAGACUUCCAGCCUCCAGAACCACAAGACGAUAAACUUCCAUGGUUUAAGCUGCCCGGUCUGCGGUCCUUUCUUAUGGCAGCUGUGCAGGGGAGUACGGGUGACGUAGGACACAGGCACACAGGGCCCUCGAGAGAGGCUGCCCCGGAGCCCGACUCGUGAACCCUCAGCAUCUCUGCAGACUCCAGGCCAGUCUCAAGAUUGCCGCGGUUGCUCUGAAGCUGGGCCCAGUGUGCCUCUGGAUUGCCUAGCCUUGGGGACCCAGCUCACUUAGUUUCUGCCCUGCCCUCUGGUUCAUUACUCCAUCAAUCCACAAACUUCACGUGGUGCCCCUGCGGCCAUUCUGUAAAUUAUGGCGUGGCGGGUGCAUCAGCUGGGGUCCAGUCUGGAAAGCGGAGAUCACUCUGGGCAUUUCAAACAGAAGGAAUGGCGUACAGGGAAGUGCUUAUACAGACGAUGGGAGAGCUGAGACGCCAAAAGGGCAGGAUUAGGCACCCUGGAAUGGGCCACAGCCGGAGGCCAGAGGCACAGAAGGAGGCUGUGGUGUCACUGGAUACAAAAAGCCAGGGCUAGAACCACAUGGGGGCUGCCUGGUGGGAACUGGGACCAGGAAGGGAGGGCCUCUUGGGUAGGGGCUGUUCCUCUGUCCUCAGAGCCAUUGCCCGCCCUUCCUCCAUUCUUCACUGAAUUACAGAGUGGCUGACCUCUGCCGGCUGCAUUGCCCAGACUCCGGGUGGGCUGACUUCCCAUUGGCCAAUAGGUGGUCAUGAUGGGAGACAGGAGGCUGGAGGAAGGGAGAAGCAGAAUAUUUCUCCCUCUCUUCUGACAUCUUGGGCUGCAUCUCCAUCAACCGUGGUGUCUCCCCCAGGGCUCCAGCCCUCGCAGGACAGUCCACAGUGCUUCCAGCUUCGCAGAGUGACCACAGGGCUACUGUAAUGUUACCUCCUCCUGCCAUCCCUCCAGCUUCAAGGUGGCAAUGGCUUUCUGCUGAAAUCUCUGAGCUGCUUCACCGUCUCUUGUUUGGCUUCUGGGCCCCUCCGUCAUCUCGGUACCGCGUUCUCUGCUGGAAAGUCUGUCUGUGUAAACGCUCAGUGGUUUCCUUUCCCGAUAUGAGGAAAGGACCUGAGAGCUAACUGGCAAGCGGCCAGCCCAGAAGGCCUCUCUUGCCCCUUUGUCCUUCUUACAGAUAAAAGCCGGGCAGCCUGCAGAUGGCAGAGGCAGCUGGGUGUUAGGGAUCAAAGGCUGGCCCUCGAGUCAGGCAGG
ensembl:lncRNA